rnacentral:rRNA from 1 species
ACUCCUACGGGAGGCAGCAGUGGGGAAUAUUGCACAAUGGGCGCAAGCCUGAUGCAGCCAUGCCGCGUGUAUGAAGAAGGCCUUCGGGUUGUAAAGUACUUUCAGCAGUGAGGAAGGUGGGUAUGUUAAUAGCAUAUUCAUUUGACGUUAGCUGCAGAAGAAGCACCGGCUAACUCCGUGCCAGCAGCCGCGGUAAUACGGAGGGUGCGAGCGUUAAUCGGAAUUACUGGGCGUAAAGCGCAUGCAGGUGGUUUGUUAAGUCAGAUGUGAAAGCCCGGGGCUCAACCUCGGAAUUGCAUUUGAAACUGGCAAACUAGAGUACUGUAGAGGGGGGUAGAAUUUCAGGUGUAGCGGUGAAAUGCGUAGAGAUCUGAAGGAAUACCGGUGGCGAAGGCGGCCCCCUGGACAGAUACUGACACUCCGAUGCGAAAGCGUGGGGAGCAAACAGGAUUAGAUACCCUGGUAGGCUCU